GGCGGCGUGCCUAAUACAUGCAAGUGGGACGCAAGGAAACACACUGUGCUUGCACACCGUGUUUUCUUGAGUCGCGAACGGGUGAGUAACGCGUAGGUAACCUGCCUAUUAGCGGGGGAUAACUAUUGGAAACGAUAGCUAAUACCGCAUAAUAUUAAUUAUUGCAUGAUAAUUGAUUGAAAGAUGCAAGCGCAUCACUAGUAGAUGGACCUGCGUUGUAUUAGCUAGUUGGUAAGGUAAGAGCUUACCAAGGCGACGAUACAUAGCCGACCUGAGAGGGUGAUCGGCCACACUGGGACUGAGACACGGCCCAGACUCCUACGGGAGGCAGCAGUAGGGAAUCUUCGGCAAUGGACGAAAGUCUGACCGAGCAACGCCGCGUGAGUGAAGAAGGUUUUCGGAUCGUAAAGCUCUGUUGUAAGUCAAGAACGUGUGUGAGAGUGGAAAGUC
rnacentral:rRNA from 1 species